UCACUGCAGGGCAUUUGGUUAACUGUCCUAAAGUGACACAUGAUGUUAAUAAAAAUGAUAAUGUGGUCACAGUCAGUGAAUUCCUGAAGCAGGGCACUCUGGUCAGUCAGCACUUCACUUUAAAAGUGGUCAGAACGUGGUCACAUGAAAGUGAUCCACGCUCAGACUUAUUAUAUGAGAAAAGAGCGGUGUGACCACAAUGCUGGGCCCUGCCGUUGUGUAGUCUGCAGCCGAAGAAAAAGUAUGCACACUGCUGGAGCUUCUUUAGACUCUGGGUUUGAAGUGAUUCCAAGUCAAACAUGAGUAACUGAGGUAACACCCUGUGUGUGGGAUGGCACCGUGCCCCAACUGGUUCGGUCUCUACCCGCCCACGCUGGCCUCCCAAACCUCUGGACUACAUCACUCUCAGUUCCCAAAACACUCUCCACCUUCCCUUAUCUCUCUCCCAAACCCGGCUUUCCAACCUCCCGCCUGUGCUUCUCCAAGCUGGGCACGGAGCCCAGACUCCAUGAGCGGCUUCACCCGCCUCCCCACCUCCGUGCCCUUUGCCUCUGCUAUCGCACAGUAUAAGAUCCAGACCUUCUCGGACUGCACUUAGCUCAGAGGCUAACACUAACCAGCCGCAGAUGUUUACACUGGGGGAGAGGGGGCAGCAGAUGAGCUCUCACUCAAUAAAACUUGCAUCUCUGCCUUUGUGUCGCUCCUUUUCGGACUCUUUCAGAACCCGGGCGGCUCUUCAGACCUCAGUUUAUUCUCUGCUUGGUCA